CUUUAAAACUAAGAUCCACGUACUCGCCUCCAAAAAGCUUUCUGGGAACAGCAGGUUGAGUUGGGAGCCCCCAUCUGUGCCUCAGUGGGCAAACCAGGUAUUGAAGGAUGUGCUUCACCAAUAUGUGGAAGUAAACCAAGGAAAUGGGAAAUAAUAGAUAUAACUGGAAACAGAUUUGACACAGGAGAGAAAAAGGGGGUCUCUCUAGGACACUGAUGGAAGAUGAUAGCUGUAAACCAACACAGACUGAAGCAGAUUAAGAUACCAGGAUUUCUACACAAAAAUAUUUCCCAUGCUGAUCAAGUGUCUUCACUUCAUUUUAGUGCAAUGCCUAAAAUUCCUGCCAUCUUUACUGUGAAUAAAUGGACUGCUCAACUUUUCUCAUCAA